ACAGUUGGAGGGCAAGUCUGGUGCCAGCAGCCGCGGUAAUUCCAGCUCCAAUAGCGUAUAUUAAAGUUGUUGCAGUUAAAAAGCUCGUAGUUGAAUUUCGGGGUUAGUAGGUUGGUCAUGCCUCUGGUAUGUACUGGUCUCACUGAUUCCUCCUUCUUGAUGAACCGUAAUGCCAUUAAUUUGGUGUUGCGGGGAAUUUGGACUGUUACUUUGAAAAAAUUAGAGUGUUUAAAGCAAGCUAACGCUUGAAUACAUUAGCAUGGAAUAAUGAAAUAGGACGUUCGAUCCUAUUUUGUUGGUUUCUAGGAUUGACGUAAUGAUUAAUAGGGAUAGUUGGGGGCAUUAGUAUUCAAUUGUCAGAGGUGAAAUUCUUGGAUUUAUUGAAGACUAACUACUGCGAAAGCAUUUGCCAAGGAUGUUUUCAUUAAUCAAGAACGAAAGUUAGGGGAU
rnacentral:rRNA from 1 species